rnacentral:rRNA from 1 species
GAUGAACGCUGGCGGCGUGCCUAAUACAUGCAAGUCGAGCGAACAGACGAGGAGCUUGCUCCUCUGACGUUAGCGGCGGACGGGUGAGUAACACGUGGAUAACCUACCUAUAAGACUGGGAUAACUUCGGGAAACCGGAGCUAAUACCGGAUAAUAUAUUGAACCGCAUGGUUCAAUAGUGAAAGACGGUUUUGCUGUCACUUAUAGAUGGAUCCGCGCCGCAUUAGAUAGUUGGUAAGGUAACGGCUUACCAAGGCAACGAUGCGUAGCCGACCUGAGAGGGGGAUCGUCCACACUGGAACUGAGACACGGUCCAGACUCCUACGGGAGGCAGCAGUAGGGAAUCUUCCGCAAUGGGCGAAAGCCUGACGGAGCAACGCCGCGUGAGUGAUGAAGGUCUUCGGAUCGUAAAACUCUGUUAUUAGGGAAGAACAAAUGUGUAAGUAACUAUGCACGUCUUGACGGUACCUAAUCAGAAAGCCACGGCUAACUACUUG